rnacentral:rRNA from 1 species
CCAGCCGUAAACUAUGCUCGCUAGGUGUCAGGCAUGGCGCGACCGUGUCUGGUGCCGCAGGGAAGCCGUGAAGCGAGCCACCUGGGAAGUACGGCCGCAAGGCUGAAACUUAAAGGAUUGGCGGGGGAGCACCACAACGGGUGGAGCCUGCGGUUUAAUUGGACUCAACGCCGGGAAGCUCACCGGAUAAGACAGCGGAAUGAUUGCCGGGCUGAAGACUCUGCAUGGACUAGCUGAGAGGUGGUGCAUGGC